GAGGGACAAGGUGACUCAUUGUACAGGGGGAGGGACAAGGUGACUCAUGGCACAGGGGGAGGGACAUGGUGACUCAUGGUACAGGGGGAGGGACAUGGUGACUCAUGGUACAGGGGGAGGGACAAGGUGACUCAUGGUACAGGGGGAGGGACAUGAUGACUCAUGGUACAGGGGGAGGGACAAGGUGACUCAUGGUACGGGGGGGGUGGUGAGACUUGCUGCUGUAAAGAUUGAGGAGUCUGAACACGGUGGCUCUUCUCUUUCAGCCAUUCAAGGAGUAGAGACAGACAGACUGACGGAGCGAGACAGAGACGUCUUCAUCAUGAUGCUG
ensembl:lncRNA